rnacentral:rRNA from 1 species
CGGCGAGGGGAGUGAAAAAGAACCUGAAACCGUGUACGUACAAGCAGUGGGAGCCUCUUAAUGGGGUGACUGCGUACCUUUUGUAUAAUGGGUCAGCGACUUAUAUUCUGUAGCAAGGUUAACCGAAUAGGGGAGCCGAAGGGAAACCGAGUCUUAACUGGGCGUUAAGUUGCAGGGUAUAGACCCGAAACCCGGUGAUCUAGCCAUGGGCAGGUUGAAGGUUGGGUAACACUAACUGGAGGACCGAACCGACUAAUGUUGAAAAAUUAGCGGAUGACUUGUGGCUGGGGGUGAAAGGCCAAUCAAACCGGGAGAUAGCUGGUUCUCCCCGAAAGCUAUUUAGGUAGCGCCUCGUGAAUUCAUCUCCGGGGGUAGAGCACUGUUUCGGCAAGGGGGUCAUCCCGACUUACCAACCCGAUGCAAACUGCGAAUACCGGAGAAUGUUAUCACGGGAGACACACGGCGGGUGCUAACGUCCGUCGUGAAGAGGGAAACAACCCAGACCGCCAGCUAAGGUCCCAAAGUCAUGGUUAAGUGGGAAACGAUGUGGGAAGGCCCAGACAGCCAGGAUGUUGGCUUAGAAGCAGCCAUCAUUUAAAGAAAGCGUAAUAGCUCACUGGUCGAGUCGGCCUGCGCGGAAGAUGUAACGGGGCUAAACCAUGCACCGAAGCUGCGGCAGCGACACUAUGUGUUGUUGGGUAGGGGAGCGUUCUGUAAGCCUGUGAAGGUG